AAUUCGUGAUUAGGAAAUUUCUUCAACAAGACUUUAUAUCUCUCCCUUGCUUCACAAAAUGUUCAUCAAUUCCUUGGGAGAAAGUUGCAAUAACAACUUUGACACU
rfam:Vigna angularis cultivar Jingnong 6 chromosome 7, whole genome shotgun sequence.